rnacentral:rRNA from 1 species
AACGAACGCUGGCGGCAGGCCUAACACAUGCAAGUCGAGGGGGAAGCCACUUUCGGGUGGUGGAGACCGGCGCACGGGUGAGUAACGCGUGGGAAUUUACCCAGGAGUGGGGGAUAACCGCUGGAAACGGCGGCUAAUACCGCAUACGCCCUAAGGGGGAAAGCUUUAGCGCUUUUGGAUGAGCCCGCGUUAGAUUAGGUAGUUGGUGGGGUAAAGGCCUACCAAGCCUGCGAUCUAUAGCUGGUCUGAGAGGAUGAUCAGCCACACUGGGACUGAGACACGGCCCAGACUCCUACGGGAGGCAGCAGUGGGGAAUAUUGGACAAUGGGGCAACCCUGAUCCAGCCAUGCCGCGUGCGUGAAGAAGGCCUUAGGGUUGUAAAGCGCUUUCACUGGUGAAGAUGAUGACGGUAGCCAGAGAAGAAGCCCCCGGUAAACUCCGUGCCAG